GAGAGAGAGAGAGAGAGAGAUGGAAGUAGUCCAAGUUCUUCGCAUGAAUGGAGGAAUUGGAGAAACAAGUUAUGCUCAAAAUUCAUUGGUUCAGGUAUUACUUUCUGCUCAUUUCAUAUAGAACCGUUUCCCAGCAUGUAUGCAUAUAUGCUCAUUUCCACUGCGGCCCUUACAGUAGCACUGCAGACUGCAGUUUCAUAUAAUUAAUAUUAGGUUUUGCGAAAGCUAUGCCGUGAUUCCUUGUUAUCAAUUAUGGAUAAAAUAGGUUAGGAUUAAUACAUGACUGGCUUAUACCCAUUGGCUAAAAUAUAAAUAUAUUGUAUCUUUAUAUUUAAUAGGUAAUUCUAUCAUGUAUUUAUGUCUUCUUUUAAAAUACAUAAAAAUAAUAUUCUUUCAUAAAAAUAUCUUUUUAUAAUAUAAAAGGUAAGCCCCCAUAUAGGUGCUUAUACCUAAAAAACAUCUAAUAAUUUCUCAUUUUUUAUUCUCAAAUGUUAUGGAUAAAAGUUUAAGAUUAGUGAAACAUGGCAAUGGGAAAAAAAAACUUAUUAUGCAACAAAUUACUUUCAUUUCACACGGAUAUUUUUAGAGAAAAAAAAUAUUGAUUAUGCUACAUACUUAUAUGUUAAGAGUGCGAUUACACCCUAGAUCCUGUUUCAACUACCAAUAUGCAUGCAGAUCGUUUUCAAAUUUAACUCUGCUAUUAAAUCGAUAAAAAUAUAUAGGGGUUAAAAAUUUAAGAUUUAAUUGAUAUAUUAUUCAAUAAAAAUAAAAUAUAUGUUUACAUGAUUAAUAUUUUUGAUAAAUUAAAAAUUAUAUAUAUUAAAUUACACAUAUAUAAUAUAUGUUGAUUCAGGCCUGAAAACCUUUGACUUGGCCCAUUUUGAAUUUGACACGCAUUCCAUUCUAUUCAAGCCUGUG
rnacentral:misc_RNA from 1 species